GUUGGGUGUGGUGGCUCAUGCCUGUAAUCCUAGCACUUUGGGAGGCUAAGGUGGGAGGAUUGCUUGAGGCCAGGAGUUCAAGACCAGCCUGGUCAACAUAGCGAGACCCCAUCUUGU
rnacentral:SRP_RNA from 1 species